rnacentral:lncRNA from 10 species
GCUCUGGGCCUUAAAGAGGCCGCAGCCCUGUGGUCACCCUGUGAAGGGAAGGGCGGUGGACCCUGCCGGAUCUUGCGAAGUUGCCAAGGGGUCAAUGCCCAGGCGCGAGUAAUUACUGCAUUAAUCCCAGACCCCAUCCCGAUUCUUGUCGGGGACUGAAGGGUCUCCGCCUGGGGCUCCGAAGUCGAUCAUUUCACAUUCACGCUUCCCAAAACGAGACACAAUAAAUUCCGCUCUGGCCUGGAGCCUUGAAUUCCCGUUACGGUCCCGCCCCGCCGAGGCCCGUCGCCUUGUUUCUCUGAGUCAGUUUCCCCAACGGUGAAAGGGAGGACGCUGACACCUGCCUGCCCCUCCCUAUCUGCCGAGGCCGUGGAGAUCAGCAGCAGCGAAAGCGCUCUGGGCUUAGAAGAGGAAAAGGGCUGCGUGAGCCCAAGAGCUUGCAUCGGAAGGCUCCAGGAAGAGCAUCUGCAAAAAAGAGGAUUCCACGGGAUGACCCCCGACAACUCUUGGAAUUCUAAAAUCCUAUACCCUUGCCCGCACCCAUUCGUGUAGUGAAGGGGCGCGCGUUAGGCGCAGAGGCCACACGCUCCGCAAGUGAACCCGGGCACCUCUCUGAACCUAUUCCGGGCUGAGGGCGGGGAGCGGGUGGCUGCCCGAUUUAAAAACAUGUAUAUGUAUGUGUAUGUGUAUGUGUAUGUGUAUGUGUAUGUGUAUGUGUAUAUGUAUAUGUAUAUGUAUAUGUAUAUGUAUAUGUAUAUGUAUUAUGAGUGAAGUCCAUGACUGCAACAGGGAGAAAGGAGAAAGGCGAAAGGGGAGAGAGCAACAAGGUAAGCCAGGCCCACUGUGAUGACAGCUGCGGUCAUGCAGGCCCUUCGUAUCCGCCUUCCUCCCCAGCAAUGGGAGAGAGCCCAGAAAAGGAGAAAUAACCCCAACUCGAUGGGGUGGAAAAGGGGGAAGCGCUUUCCGGAAGGCUUCCGGGAUGGGGUCACCAGAGUCAGAGGAAGGAGUAACAGUAGAUAGAAGAAGAAGUGGUCAGGGGCGUUCUUCUAGGUUUGGGGCGGACCCGCGUGAAGAUGCAAAGACUGAAAAGGGGCGGCUCACUUUACAUUCCAAGGUAAAUUCUCACUAUGACCCCCUUUUCCCCAUCAAAGGCUUCUGGGACUGCCCAUGGGUGAACUCAGAGGGAGG